rnacentral:lncRNA from 1 species
AUCACGCAUCCGACGGCGUAAAAGCCCCGAGAGUUACAAUAUAACAGAGACAGGAACUAGGGGAUAAUUAAUUUGCCCCUUUUCGUCCCGACGAAGGAGCAGUAGAUUUCCAAGUACUUGAAAUUGGUGCAGCUAAUAUAAUAGACUCAUUUGAAUCGAGCGUUUUGACUAGCGGAUGACAUUAUGAUGAUGGCUGUAAGCUGUUGUUCUUCGGAUAUUAGCAUAUGUUCUUGCGAUUAUUUCCUUGCAACCACAGUAAGUAAUGAAGCAAUCAUACUACAUAAAACUAUCUCCAGGCUUGCAGACUGCAACAAAAUGGAAUUGUGUGAUGCUGAAAAUUGUUGUUGGUCUCACCGAAAAGGUAUUGAGAUCCAUCAACAUCAUACAGUAAAAUAAAAUGGAUAGGUUAACCAUCAUCCUGAAGUUGAACGAAUUGCUUAGGCAAAUGCACUAUAUAUAUAAAAAAAAGAAUACUCUUGGAUUUUACUAGCAACCUUAUGCCGUGGUCGAUGGAUCAGCAUGGCUUGAUUCGAUCCCGAAAGCACAAGAUCACCUGUGUGGUUGCUUGGGCGGGGGUGGUCGACAUCAGGUCGGGUCUAUAUUUUGCCUCUAGAGUCGAUCCGAGGUAGAGCAUCGAGUUGUUCUUCCUUUCUCGUUGGAUUGUUGUUCCUUUCUCGUUGAGUUUUUGCACACAAGUCAAAGUCGAGAGAAGGAUUUUUCGAUUCAACCCCUCUAAAGCUUAAGUUAGUAUUGGGUGGUGGGUGUUAAAGAGAGUUUGAGUUUUCGAAGUCCG